AGAGGAAAAUCCGUCGACUUUUGAAAUCGUGAGGGUUCAAGUCCCUCUAUCCCCAUCCGCA
rnacentral:tRNA from 1 species